rnacentral:rRNA from 1 species
UACGGAGGGUGCAAGCAUUAAUCGGAAUUAUUGGGCGUAAAGGGCGCGUAGGCUGAUUGACAGGCCAGAUGUGAAAUACCAAAGCUCAACUUUGGUGCUGCAUUUGAAACUGUUAGUCUCGAGGGUUGACGGAGAAAACGGAAUUCCACGUGUAGCGGUGAAAUGCGUAGAUAUGUGGAAGAACACCAGUGGCGAAAGCGGUUUUCUAGUUUAUACCUGACGCUGAGGCGCGAGAGCAAGGGGAGCAAACAGG